UAGUAAGUGUUUUAUGGCACUUUUUAAAUCCAUAUCCACCUUGUGUGCAAUGUCGGUCGAUCUUCUUUUUUUGAGGAUCGACCAAACAUCAACCUUUAUUUUUUAACUCUUUGUCUGAAAAAUAUUAUGAAUAAACAAUUCAAAAUA
rnacentral:misc_RNA from 1 species